rnacentral:rRNA from 1 species
CAACUUUCAACAACGGAUCUCUUGGUUCUGGCAUCGAUGAAGAACGCAGUGAAAUGCGAUAAGUAGUGUGAAUUGCAGAAUUCAGUGAAUCAUCGAAUCUUUGAACGCACAUUGCGCCCUUUGGUAUUCCAAAGGGCAUGCCUGUUCGAGCGUCAUUU